rnacentral:rRNA from 1 species
CCUGGCUCAGAAUGAACGUUGGCGGCGUGGAUUAGGCAUGCAAGUCGAACGGGCCGCAAGGCCAGUGGCGGAAGGGUGAGUAAUGCGACGGUAACCAACCCCGGAAAUGGGUAUAGCCGCGGGAAACUGCGGGUAAUCCCCAGCGACGUGUCGGGUCGGCAUCGACCUGACACCAAAGCUCCGGCGUUCCGGGACGGGCCGUUGUGGUAUUAGCUAGUUGGCGGGGUAACGGCCCACCAAGGCUGCGAUGCCUACCGGGCGUGCGAGCGUGGCCCGGCACACUGGGACUGAGACACUGCCCAGACUCCUACGGGAGGCUGCAGUCGAGAAUCUUCGGCAAUGGGCGCAAGCCUGACCGAGCGACGCCGCGUGGAGGACGAAGGCCUCGGUUGUAACUACCUGUCGAGGGGAGGGAAGGCGGUAA